rnacentral:tRNA from 1 species
GAUAAGGUGGCUGAAUUUUUAGGCUGUAAAUUGUAAAUUUAUAUAUGAUAUAAUUAUCUCUUAUCA